GAUCAAGAACGUAGCGAAAUGCGAUAAGUAAUGUGAAUUGCAGAAUUCAGUGAAUCAUCGAAUCUUUGAACGCACAUUGCGCCCGCCAGUAUUCUGGCGGGCAUGCCUGUUCGAGCGUCAUUUCAACCCUCAGGCCCCCAGUGCCUGGUGUUGGGGAUCGGCCCAGCCUUCCUGUAAGGCCGCCGGCCCCGAAAUCUAGUGGCGGUCUCGCUGUAGUCCUCCUCUGCGUAGUAGCACAACCUCGCAGUUGGAACGCGGCGGUGGCCAUGCCGUUAAACACCCCACUUCUGAAAGUUGACCUCGGAUCAGGUAGGAAUACCCGCUGAACUUAAGCAUAUCAAUAAGCGGAGGA
rnacentral:misc_RNA from 1 species